CAUGCUGCGCGGAAAUGGGGCGACACAGCGGGUCAAACUGGGACGCCGUCCCGUGCCAGGCAUCCCCCCCUGAGAGACCCGUUGUGACAAAUCUACUGUAAACUGGCACCUGAGUUUACGGUAAAAUGGUUUAAAAAAACAAAAUAUUGAUCUGCAUUGAAAAGUAUCCUGCAUCAGUUCCUACACAGAUUCAUUCUUGUCUGUUGUUAGUGGUUAAAUGGGAGUUCUCCUACCCACAGGAAUGUGUCAGCCAGAAGUCCUGAGAUGUGAGUUAUUUGUGCUCUUCCUUCUGAAUCCCUGAGAUGUGAGUUAUUUGUGCUCUCCGUUCUGAAUCCCUGAGAUGUGAGUUAUUUGCUCCAUUCUGAAUCCCUGAGAUUUGAGUUAUUUGCUCCAUUCUGAAUCGCUGAGAUGUGAGUUAUUUGCUCCAUUCUGAAUCGCUGAGAUGUGAGUUAUUUGCUCCAUUCUGAAUCCCUGAGAUGUGAGUUAUUUGUGCUCUUCCUUCUGAAUCCCUGAGAUGUGAGUUAUUUGUGCUCUCCGUUCUGAAUCCCUGAGAUGUGAGUUAUUUGCUCCAUUCUGAAUCCCUGAGAUGUGAGUUAUUUGCUCCAUUCUGAAUCCCUGAGAUUUCAGUUAUUUGCGCUCUCUGUUCCAAAGGUCCCGGCCCAGCCGGUCCGGGGUUUCCGCCCCUGCACACAGGGGCACCGUCCUGAAACAGGAAUGGGAUGGCUGCAGCUGCCGCCCCCCCCACAGCUGCACUGAGCCGAGGCUGUUUUUCGGGUGGAGUGGGACUCCAACGGACCCAUGGCACAGUUGUUCCCCUCUAUGGAGUGUUUUUUCCAAGUACACACACACACACACACACACACACAUAUACUCACACACACGGACUCACACAUGCAAACACACACACACACAUAUACACACACCCACACACGCAAACACACACACACACACACACACACACAACACACACAUACACACACACACACACACACACAAUACACACACACACACACACACGCACACACACACACACACACGGACUCACACACGCACACACACUCUUCAGACCCCAGGACUCUGAGGCGCUGCAUUAAGUGCAUCUGAAGAGGCAGCCGUGCGGUACUCAGAUUAUCAGCCACUUCAGGACGUAUGUGGCAUUUCUAAGAUGUGAGUAACGGGCUGUGUCCGAGCACAGCUUGCCUCAUACAUGUACGUACACACUCACACACACACAUGCACGUACGUACACACACACACACACAUGCACACACACACUCACACACACACAUGCACGUACACGCACAGGCACACACACACACACAUGCACGUACACGCACAGGCACACACACACACACACACACGCACGCAUACACAGACACAUAACUCCUUGCUGUGUAGGCUUAAAAAACUGUCAAAUAAAUGAGGAAGUUGAAACAAGAGAAUUCAUUCUUAAUUCCCUCUCUUCAACUGUCUGUCCUGGUGUCAGGUUAUGCUAAACGCACCGACGCUGCAUCGUGCGGACUGCGGGUGUCAAAGGGAAAGUCCCUGAGUAAAAUUUGUGCUCUGCUUUCUAGGCUGCGGCUGAACUGAAGAUGUAACCCGCACUUCAUUUCCGUUUUGCAGGAGCGGUUUCUGACACGUUCAGUAUGCGGAGCUUCCUGUGCCAAACGAAACACGAACAAACAAACAGCAGACAAACACAACCCCCUGCAUCUGCGAGAGAAACAUCUGGAUGAAGCCAGUUCCAAGUUCCGAACGCUGAACACCAUUCCAAAUUGGAGUGAAAGAGCAUUCCGGAACAGGCCGAUGUUCCGCGUGCAUGUUUCCCCCAGGCAGAAUGAGGUUAGGACUCCGUUACUGUUUCUAAAGUGAAUCUUUCACUUCAGCAUCUGGCGUCGUAUGUUUUUGUUGUUGUUGUUCUUGUUAAUGGACACCCAACACAGAACAGGAUCCCCUUGUGAUCCCAGUCCUCGGGGGGAGGUGGUUUUACAAAGCAAGCAGUCCCAAGUUUCUUUUAUUUUUUUUCUCAGCCACUGUCUCCAGUGUUGGCACAAGGCCGCUGUGCCUUUUAAAACAUAUAUUCCGAAUAUAACUCUCCAAAAUGGUUUUUAUUUUGCUUUGUGAUUUCUCCAACGCCUACGCCAUUGUUUUGGUCGCAAAACAAUGCACACCAAGAAGACAUAAAACACACACAGUUAAUGAGUAGCUAACAAAUGAGUCGUGUCUUAAACUACAUUGUGCAUGCUCAAUUUAUUCUGCUUCCAAUUCCCUAGUUAUACUGACCUCAUGGUACAGAUGCCUGAAAUUGUGUUUCACCCCUUCUUGGGGGGAAUUUGGAGUGUCCAAUGGUGGUUCUUGGCCUCUCCAAACAUUCAGGGGAGUACAGAAAUGUAAACUCUCCUCUGAAAGGCCACAAACAAGAAACCAGGCUGUACUUUAGUAAAGUUAUCUUGUUAUCUUUUCCUACUGUGUUCAAAACGGAUAUGUCAAAUGUAAGUUCCCCUAUGAAUACCGUAGCAAGAAAUGAACGGCUCGCCUAUACGUUAUCUUUGCCAGUCUUCAUGUAUCAGAUCACUGAGGGCAAAAGUUAUACAUCCGCUUGCCCUAUCUGCAUUUCAGUAAAAGUGCAAUCCUACUUUCUAUAACGAUCUUUCUGCUCUGCAUUGGUUUAUCACAGUAUCAUAAUCAGGCUGCACCCUUCCCCAUCCCUCCCUACCCCCCUGUAAUCUCUAAAUUGACUGUAAGUUUAGGGUUGUACCUAGGUAGCUGUUGACUUAGUUAAUGCACUCGUCUUAACUUCUGCUUGUAUUUUUGCAUAGACUGCAUUGUUGCUGUUCUUGUUUGUGUUAGUGUUAAUCAGUUUAACCUACAGGGUCCAAGUUGAACUAUGCGGUUGUUCCCUGCACUUGGAACGGUACUUCUCUCUAGGGUUUUUCGACACUGUUCCUGGUUAUGGGUAUACACUUUGUUGUACGUCGCUCUGGAUAAGAGCGUCUGCCAAAUGCCUGUAAUGUAAUGUAAUAAUGACCCACUCGCAAUAAUAUCUGAGUCAUAUUAGUAUUGAGUGAUAAUGGCUUAAAACAAACUUUUCGUUUGGUGCCCCGCUGAUGUUGUAGAUUAAUUGAAAAUGUCAUCCACAAAAAGUAGCCUAAUCUAAUAGUCAUGUGAACUUUUUAUAAUUUAAUAUCUCUUUUUUUUUACCGGCCAAACAAGAACUAAAGAUUCAGUAGUACUCGACUCAUGCUCUCUGCUUAGUAACAAAGCAAGAAUGUUGAAAUUUUUUAAUAAAAAUAAAAUUUAUUACAUUUUCCCGUUUGAACUGAA